rnacentral:rRNA from 1 species
CACGUAGGGUGCGAGCGUUGUCCGGAAUUAUUGGGCGUAAAGAGCUCGUAGGCGGUCUGUCGCGUCUGCCGUGAAAACCCGAGGCUUAACCUCGUGGCUUGCGGUGGAUACGGGCAGACUAGAGGUAGGUAGGGGAGAAUGGAAUUCCCGGUGUAGCGGUGAAAUGCGCAGAUAUCGGGAGGAACACCGGUGGCGAAGGCGGUUCUCUGGGCCUUACCUGACGCUGAGGAGCGAAAGCGUGGGGAGCGAACAGG